UGCAAAUAAUUAGUUCUGGCAAAAUGUAUUGCUUUGAAUCCCUUGUCUGUAGCUCAACAGUAAAUGCAUGCAGUGCCAGUCAAAUGGUCAUGAAAGUGGACACCUUUUUCAAACAGAUUUUUCUUCCCGUGUGAGGAAACCGUAGUACCCAGAGAAAACCUACAACAUUUGGUUCAGGGUUGACUCAUUUCAAUAAUCCAACACCAAUAUUGCAAAGAGAAAUUAGAUUUUUAACUUUCACUUCACUAAAAUAUUUGAGCUGUUUCCUUUGCUAUCUGGAUAUUUAUAGAAAACCAGUCAUCGGAGAAACAUACUCUGACAUCAUGAAAUGUGCAACUAUUUGGCAAUUCCCAUUACUUGCUGGUCAUUGCCACAGUACCAGUUUAAAUACAUGUAAUAAUGGUACAUACAUGCUGAUAAUUUUGG